rnacentral:rRNA from 1 species
GAUGAACGCUGGCGGCGUGCCUAAUACAUGCAAGUCGAGCGAACAGACGAGGAGCUUGCUCCUCUGACGUUAGCGGCGGACGGGUGAGUAACACGUGGAUAACCUACCUAUAAGACUGGGAUAACUUCGGGAAACCGGAGCUAAUACCGGAUAACAUGUUGAACCGCAUGGUUCAACAGUGAAAGACGGUCUUGCUGUCACUUAUAGAUGGAUCCGCGCCGCAUUAGCUAGUUGGUAAGGUAACGGCUUACCAAGGCAACGAUGCGUAGCCGACCUGAGAGGGUGAUCGGCCACACUGGAACUGAGACACGGUCCAGACUCCUACGGGAGGCAGCAGUAGGGAAUCUUCCGCAAUGGGCGAAAGCCUGACGGAGCAACGCCGCGUGAGUGAAGAAGGUCUUCGGAUCGUAAAACUCUGUUAUUAGGGAAGAGCAAAUGUGUAAGUAACUAUGCACGUCUUGACGGUACCUAAUCAGAAAGCCACGGCUAGCUACGUG